GAUGAACGCUGGCGGCGUGCUUAACACAUGCAAGUCGAACGGAAAGGCUCCUGCUUGCAGGGGUACUCGAGUGGCGAACGGGUGAGUAACACGUGGGUGAUCUGCCCUGCACUUCGGGAUAAGCCUGGGAAACUGGGUCUAAUACCGGAUAGGACCACAUUUUGGAUGGUGUGGUGGAAAGUUUUUCGGUGUGGGAUGAGCUCGCGGCCUAUCAGCUUGUUGGUGGGGUAAUGGCCUACCAAGGCGUCGACGGGUAGCCGGCCUGAGAGGGGGGACGGCCACAUUGGGACUGAGAUACGGCCCACACUCCUACGGGGGGCAGCAGUGGGGAAUAUUGCACAAUGGGCGCAAGCCUGAUGCAGCGACGCCGCGUGGGGGGUGACGGCCUUCGGGUUGUAAACUCCUUUCGCGAGGGACGAAGCGUUUUUGUGACGGUACCUGGAGAAGAAGCACCGGCUAACUACGUG
rnacentral:rRNA from 1 species